rnacentral:rRNA from 1 species
AUUGAACGCUGGCGGCAUGCCUUACACAUGCAAGUCGAACGGUAACGCGGGGCAACCUGGCGACGAGUGGCGAACGGGUGAGUAAUGCAUCGGAACGUGCCUGGUAGUGGGGGAUAACUGCUCGAAAGAGCAGCUAAUACCGCAUACGACCUGAGGGUGAAAGGGGGGGAUCGCAAGACCUCUCGCUAUCAGAGCGGCCGAUGUCGGAUUAGCUAGUUGGUGGGGUAAAGGCCCACCAAGGCAACGAUCCGUAGCUGGUCUGAGAGGACGACCAGCCACACUGGGACUGAGACACGGCCCAGACUCCUACGGGAGGCAGCAGUGGGGAAUUUUGGACAAUGGACGCAAGUCUGAUCCAGCCAUGCCGCGUGCGGGAAGAAGGCCUUCGGGUUGUAAACCGCUUUUGUCAGGGAAGAAAUCUUCUGGGUUAAUACCUCGGGAGGAUGACGGUACCUGAAGAAUAAGCACCGGCUAACUACGUGCCAGCCGCCGCAGUAAUAC